rnacentral:SRP_RNA from 1 species
GGCAAGCUAGGUAGCUCUAGCUUGUGACCCAUGUGGGGGCAUCAAUGUGAUGGAACAUGCCUAUGGCAUGCUGGGUGGGGAUGGUUCAACAAAACUUGGUAUGCCCACUCCAAGUUAAGAGUAGAGCCAUGGUAUUUGGGUGAAGAUAUCAAGUGUCAUGAUGGAACAUGCCUAUGGCAUGCUAGGUGGGAUGGUUCAACAAAUGUUGGCGUGCCCGCUCCAAGUUGAGAGUUGAGCCAUGGUAUUU